rnacentral:misc_RNA from 1 species
AGCAGCCGCGGUAAUUCCAGCUCCAAUAGCGUAUAUUAAAGUUGUUGCAGUUAAAAGCUCGUAGUUGAAUUUCGGGAUCAAUAUGUUGGUCGUGCCUCGGUACGUACUAGCAUAUUGGUUUCUCCUUUCUGAAGAACCAUGAUGUCAUUUAUUUGGUGUCGUGGGGAAUCAGGACUGUUACUUUGAAAAAUUAGAGUGUUUAAAGCAGGCUCACGCUUGAAUACAUUAGCAUGGAAUAAUGAAAUAGGACGUUUGAUUCUAUUUUGUUGGUUUCUAGGAUCGACGUAAUGAUUAAUAGGGAUAGUUGGGGGCAUUAGUAUUCAAUUGUCAGAGGUGAAAUUCUUGGAUUUAUUGAAGACUAACUACUGCGAAAGCAUUUGCCAAGGAUGUUUUCAUUAAUCAAGAACGAAAGUUAGGGGAUCGAAGACGAUCAGAUACCGUCGUAGUCUUAACCAUAAACUAUGCCGACUAGGGAUCGGAUGAUGUUAAUUUUUUAAUGUA